AUGGCGGAGGUGGUGAUGAAGAGCAAGGACCUCAUGUUCGCCUCGCGACCGCGCGGUGUGACACUGGACGUCAUAGGUUAUGGCAGCGGCAUAGGCAUCAUCUUUGCCCCCUAUAGCGACCGCUGGCACCAGGCGCGCAAGGUCUGCACCAUGGAGCUCCUGAGCGCGAAGCAGGUGAAGCGUAUGGAAGGCAUCAGGUCCGAGGAGGUCAGCAACCUCCUAAGUUCCAUCACCACCUCGAUUGGCACAACUAUCAACCUCACGGAGAAGUUGUCGGCACUCAUGAACGAUGUCAUUGCGCGGGCGGUGUUCGGAGGCAAGUGCGCACAGCAAGGUGAGUACCUCCGGGAAUUGGAAAAAGUCACUGCAUUGGUGGGAGGCUUCUCGCUCGUAGACCUAUUCCCGUCGUCGCGGCUGGUGCGGCUGCUGAGCUCCGGGGAGCGACGGAUGAGGAGGAGCUAUGGACGAAUCCAGUGCAUCAUCUCCAACAUCAUUGAGCAACGCAAGGAGAUGCGCGCUGCAGUCAGCUCCAACGACGAGGAGGACUUGCUGGACGUGCUGCUCAGGCUGCACAAGGAGGACUCCUUGCCAUAUCCACUAACUUUAGAGGCAAUAGGCGUCAUCAUAUUUGACUUGUUCGCGGGUGGCACCGAGACCUCUGGAAUAACAUUGGAGUGGGCUAUGUCAGAGCUCUUGAAAAAUCCCGAAAAUAUGAGAAAGGUACAACUAGAGGUUCGACAAGUGGUAGGUGGGCAACAAUCUGUCAUAAAUAACAAUGACCUUCAUGACCUCCACUACAUGAGAAUGGUGAUCAAGGAGGUCUUGAGGUUGCAUCCCCCCGCUCCUCUACUCCCCCGAAGGGCAAGAGAAGACUGCGAAAUCAUGGGAUAUAAAAUUCCUGAGGGCACCAAUGUACAAGUUAAUAUAUUCGCGAUUUGUCGGGAUUGCAGAUAUUGGGAUGCCCCUGAAGCAUUUAAGCCAGAGAGGUUCAAAGAGAGCAACAUAGAUCACAAGGGGACACAUUUUGAGUUCACACCUUUCGGGGCUGGGAGACGGCAAUGUCCUGGAAUGUUGUUCGGCACAUCAACCGUGGAGAUCGCAUUAGCAAACCUUCUACACCAUUUUGACUGGGUGUUCCCUGAUGGGCCUAAUCCGGGGUCGUUGGACAUGUCUGAGAAGUUCGGGAUCAAUGUACGUAGAAAGUUCGAUUUAGAGCUUAGAGCAACCCCAUAUGUGCUCUCCAAAGCUGCGUAG
rnacentral:rRNA from 1 species